AGUUGAGUUAGAGGUUGCAAUAUUAAAUAGUAGCUUGUCAGAAGUUGUAUGGAACGAAUGUUGAACAAGUCAAAGGUAAUAUUGCCGAAACAAACGUUAACCAUAAUAGACGUUUGUUGGGACAGUUUUCGAAAGAAACUGUACUGUCACUUAAUGUGAUGUGCUACCUAAUAU
rnacentral:ncRNA from 1 species